AUUACAUGAUGGAGACAUUCUAGGAUGUAGUCUUGGAAGCGCUCCGAUGCUUCUGGAACGAAUUCAUCAUGUUGUCGCUGAAAACUUAUAAUUUUCCCACAGAGAGC
rfam:Sorghum bicolor cultivar BTx623 chromosome 8, whole genome shotgun sequence.